GAGAAUGCUCCACUUACAGCAUAAAUAUCAGACCAGAGCACAGGGAUGAAGAACUCUGACUAUAUCAGUACCUCAGGCUGUGCUUGCUACUUUUCAAUAAUCCUCUUUUGGAAGAUCUACUCUCUACUUCUAUGUGAGCCUUGAGUGAUACUAGACUUGGAUCUUAACCUAAAAGAGAGCUUCAGCACAGGGUAGGAAGGAUGUGGUACUUAGUUACUGGCCGGACUUAAACCUCAAGACACACAAAACAGUUUAAAUCUCAAGUGUUAUUCACAGGACCUUCGUAUCAGCAAUACUUCUCACUCAAAGAAACCAAGGCAGGAUACCUCAAGUCUAACACCUCCCCUUCUAUGCUCUUUAAAGACGCAAGCUUCUGCAACACAAUACAUAUUUGCAUCAACUUGGACCUGAGGUGGAUUGUGCUGUGUCUGCACGGAAGUGAUUUUUUAAAGAAAAGCUGUAAUUAAAAUCAAAUAGUGAUUAGCUUUGGAUAUUAACAACCCGUGGAACCAAUUAAAGAGCUAGAUACGCCUCUGUGGCCACACAGGUUAAAAUCAGAAGAAUCCCAAGAAAAGGGGAUUUUCCUUCCUGUUUUUCCUUCUGGCCUGGGAAGAGGUAACUGGGUGCCAGCACCGUCAGCCCCACUCUGCCUGUGGCGCUCAGGCCUGGUGCUACCAGGCAGGGGGAGGUGAGGAGAAAAUGACCCCUGGCCCCAGCAGCUGCUAACGUUCUGCAGCCAAAGCUGCGCCAUCACAGCCUCGGGAGGCCUAACCAGGCCCCUUCCCCCACCACCCCCCAGCACAGCUUUCUCAAGAAUCCCUUACCGUAGAGAGCUCUGGCCACCGCUACCAAGUCACCCAGCCAACAGGACAGGGCAGCCGUGCGGAGUGGCCCCCAGCAGCCAGAACCCCAAGAUUCUGGAUCAUGAGAUCAGCCCUGGCACAGCCGGAAUUUACCACCUUCCCUUUGGCUACUGCCCAGGAAAGACCAUCACGACCCUCUGCAGACCUGGGAGAGACAGUAACUCUUUCCUUGACAAAUUAAACUUGCAAAGCACAAAUCCUCUCUCUGAGUGAGAGAAAGGGACACACUGGAGACAUGUAGAGAGACAAUACGAAGACAUCAAAAUCAGUGAAAGAAGAAUUGGGUAUUAGAUGGAAGGAGAAUGAGAAAAUGCCUAGCUCUAGGCUGAAAUUCUUUUGUAAAACUAUGAUAAUUGACUAGGAUAUACUAGAAUAUCCCUUUAAAUUGUGGAAAACAUGCACUGGGGAGAUGAGUGCUCAGAUUGCAGAUGUAAGCAAAGACAUUUGUAAAUACUGAAGUAUUUACAAUGUAAUACUAUGUAAAUAUUGAAGUAGCUGUAAUUUUAUGAGAAGUUUGAACAGAGAGAUAAGAUGAAGAUCUGCUCCCAGGAAAAGAAGAGGAAGAUCCCUGUUCCUAAAGAUGAGGGUGAUUUUUAAAACAGAUGAAGAGAACCUUUACUUUUGAACCACUCAUCUUUAAAACGGUACCCCCCAUGAGUUUACAUGGCUGUAAUGCAGCUGGUCCAGAAGGCUGCGUGAUAUGGGAGGGACUCCACAAAUGCACAUUGCUGGGCAGCUGCUUUUGUGAGAAUUAAAAGCCGUAAGAGAAUUGUUUUUUCUUGUAGGGAAGUUAUUACGGCAGACCAAAAGAUACUCCUCUGUCUAAAAGAAUUGAUGGAAGACUGUUUUAGAGGUGGUAACUGACCUAAAGUCCAAUCUUCGUCUCUACAUAUUGUCAGAGAAAGAGAAAAGAGUUUGUGGGAAAGAGGGGAGGUGUU